rnacentral:rRNA from 1 species
AGCUCCAAUAGCGUAUAUUAAAGUUGUUGCGGUUAAAAGCUCGUAGUUGGAUUUCUGUUGAGGGAGGCCGGUCCAUACUAUGUAUGUGUAUCUGGUUCUGUCUCGGCAUCCUCUUGGGGAAGGGUUCUGUGCUUGAUUGCAUGGGCUCUGAUUCAAGACUUUUACUUUGAGGAAAUUAGAGUGUUCACGGCAAGCUAUCGCUUUGAAUACAUUAGCAUGGAAUAAUAAUAUAGGGCGUAAGUUCUAUUUUGUUGGUUUCUAGAACAUACGCAAUGAUUAAUAGGGAUAAUUGGGGGCACUCGUAUUAACGCGUCAGAGGUGGAAUUCUUAGAUUGCGUUACGACGAACUACUGCGAAAGCAUUUGCCAAGGAUGUUUUCA